rnacentral:tRNA from 1 species
GGGAAUGUGGCUCAGUGGUAGAGUGCUUGCUUACCAUGCAUGAUACCUUGGGUUCAAUAUCUCAGUACCA